AAAUCAAUUUGAAAUGAUUCAAUGUUUCAAUUUGAAAACGUGGAAUUUCCAUUGCAGGGCGAUGGUGUCUGUGUCUCACGCGUUUGGCAUGGUGCCAGACAGUGUAAAAAUUUAGCUAUAUGCUGGAAACUCCGAGUAUCCGACACUACCCCGAUUGUUUCGUGGGUAAAAAUGUGUUCGGUGCGGACAAUCAGCAGGGAAGAUCAAAAAAAGGAGACCGUGAUGAAUAAAGUCAGUUGUAACUUUUGUGGUAAUGCGAAGAAAUAUGCACUAGAGGAAUUGACGUCCAGAACACAUCUGGGUCGAAAAGUUCUCCAGUGUCCUAUUUGCAGAACGCACCUCUUCAUCGAAGAAGGGGGUGAACUCCGCAAAACAAGCAUGACUACCCUUGAAUCAAAGGAUGAUACAAGAUCAUUUGAAUGAUCCCCUCAGAGACUACACGCUAGACAAUUAAACAGAAUGGGCGAAAGGCAUUCGCCAAGUAGCCCACAUUUUUUAAUUGAUGAUAUAGUCCGGACUGCAUAGCGAUAUGCAG
rnacentral:ncRNA from 1 species